GAGCUCGCUUUGGCAGCACAUACACUAAAAUUGGAACGAUACAGAGAAGAUUAGCCUGGCCCCUGUACAAGGAUGACAUGUGAAUUCAUGAAGCGCUCCAUAUUUAA
ensembl:snRNA U6 U6 spliceosomal RNA